rnacentral:rRNA from 1 species
UACAGAGGUCUCAAGCGUUGUUCGGAUUCAUUGGGCGUAAAGGGUGCGUAGGCGGCGCGGUAAGUCGGGUGUGAAAUCUUGGAGCUUAACUCCGAAACUGCAUUCGAUACUGCCGUGCUUGAGGACUGGAGAGGAGACUGGAAUUUACGGUGUAGCGGUGAAAUGCGUAGAUAUCGUAAGGAAGACCAGUGGCGAAGGCGGGUCUCUGGACAGUUCCUGACGCUGAGGCACGAAGGCCGGGGGAGCAAACGGG